GGCCUCGUAGCUCAGCUGAUAAAGCAUGCGCGUUCAAAGCGUGAACGGCGUCUAUGUGUGGGUUCGAAUCCCACCGAGGCUA
rnacentral:tRNA from 1 species